rnacentral:lncRNA from 1 species
CAUGACCUAAAAUCUAGUCAAAUUUGUGUUCCCAUAUUCCUACAACAGCACGCCCUAUUCAAAAGCAUAUCAGGACCAUGGUCUGGAUCGAGUUAAGGAUAAAGAAGCCUAAAAGCUGAGUGAUGGAUGAUAGAGAAUAGCAAGCAUGAGUUGUGUUCCUUCCAAUCCAGAUUUAGUUUAGUGGCUUAUGAUGCUUUGGAAGGUCCUAGUUCCACAUCCGAUCCUAAUCUGCUUAUUUGUGUCACUUAUUUGACAUUUCCUAAAAUUGGAUUAUAAAAUCUAAACAAAGAAAAUCUGAGUAAUUAUCACAUAAAUCCUCUUUUCUUACUUCUCACAACUCGCCUUGCUAUGCUAUCCAUUGGGUGGGAAUGGAUAGUUAUAAAAAUGAAAUGUUCCUCAAUUUGGCCUGGAGAUAUCCAAGAGAAGGCAUUCCUGCCAUCAAGAAAAAUGUCCCAUAUUGAGGCAGACGAAGAAGAAGAAGAAGAAAAAUCAUAAUUCUAUGUAGGGUUCCCUCUUCAAAUUCCACAACACGUCAUUUUUCUUCCUGCAAAAACAAAUUGAAGAGCAGCCAAACACGGUAGGCACUCCAAAUAACAACAACAAUCAAUAGCCAAACACCUUCUUUUAGCACUCCAAAUGAUCUUGUCCCAUCAUGCUUUAUCUAAACUCAGAUCAUUUGAGUAUAUUAGGAGGAUAAGCUACAGAUGUCAAUACCUAAAUCACUGAUGCUGAGUUGGGUUUCAGCCCAACCGAACAGAUAUAGCUGAAAUCUAAAUAAGAUGCAAUCCCAUUUACUACAACAUGAACAACAUUAGUAGACACCAUAACAAGUAGAGACCAUAACAAAAUAAAAACACAUCAUUUUCCUUCCAAUUUGCCUAAGACUGAUAGAUAGUUAAAGGUGAGACAAAUCCAAUACCAUAAAAAAUAUAUCUCACAUACAACUUGAGAAUGUACAAAAAUCAAACAAAACCCACCUUACACACCCAAACUUACCCAACAUUAAUUCAUGAUGCAGUGUCAUAGAUUAUUGAAGUAGAUAAAAAACAUGAAUUUCAAACCAUACGAACUUAAAAUCCAUCAGCCUGCUAUCGGAACAACUAAUAUCCCAGAGCUAUAGCUAAAGCGCAACCAAGGGUUAAGAGAUACAUCAAAAGAAAUAAGAAACAGAAACUAGUAUAAUAACAGAAAAAUGAGUUUGAAAAAGUACUUAAAAAAAAAAUCAUGAUUUUCUCAUAUUUGAGCUACUAUGAAAGAUACUAAAUAAAAUUGUAUAUAAUUAAAAUUAGUGAGAAACUUAAAUAUUUUCAAAUUAUUUAACACAUGUUAAAAUAAUAUAUAUUAAAGUUUUACAGUUAAUUUUUUUGUUCCUUCCACAAACAUAGCUCUCUCUAAGAAUUACUAUCGUCUAUUUUGUCAUGUAGGUUCAGUAGGUACCUAAAAUUUCUCCCUCGUUUUGUCAUGUACUCCACAAUGUGGUUUCAAUUUACUUCUUGUUUUCUAGUUCUUAUCCAUACCAGCAUGCCAUCAGUAUGUUGAGUUGCCUAUUAUUAACAUUUGUUAAAUGUGCAAAGCCUGAAAGUAACAAUGUACUUGCACUAGGAUUAUUUAGACAAAACACCAACAGAUUCAGAGGCUAAAAAUAUAUAACCAUGUCCUAAAUUUUUUAACAAAUUACAAUCCAGAGACAUUCAUCACUAACAAAGAGUUCAAAUGAAAUGUAAUUAGAUUGCUGCCAAUCAAGGCAACAAGCUAUUCCAAUCCACAAAAGUUUAUAUCAGCAGGCAUCAAAUUCCUGGCCACCAAGAGUUCUAUAACCAACUUCAAAGCAUAACUUCUUAAACACAUUUAUAUGAUAUAAUAAUAAUAAUAAAGUACAAAUCCCAAGUUAAUGUCAUUAUUCCCUCAAAAUGCUACAGUAUAGCAAAUAAGAUUAAAUCUUUUGUUCUUCCCCUCCCCCCCCCCCCCCUCCUCCCCAGGAAUUACAGGCAUUCCCCCGGUACACGGAUGAUUAAAUUAAAAUUAUAAAUCCAAAAUAUUAAACCAAAAGGACUGAUACCGAUCGAUCAGAAAUUGAGAAUUCCACAUAUCAACUUGGAAAUCGUAGAUAUUUUAGAAUAAAAGAAGAAGAAUGAUUGAUUCUACUAUGAAAUUUUAAUACCAAUCUUUCAAAUCAUCCACCAGAUGGUCGCCACACCCUUUCCAUCAAAAUUUCAAAUGUUCCACUCCAAAAGAUCGUAUCCCCUGUUAAAGUCCAAUCUGAAAGUAAUCAAUCAAUACAAAGAACGGUUCGUGUUGAAGGCGAAAAAGAGUAAAAAUCCAAGCUGACGAGUUCAUAUAAUCAAUAAAAAGAAUGAUUCGUAAGGGGAAAGAAACCUGAAACCACGAGCUUUAAAAAUUCGACCAUCAAAAGGUCACUCCAUGAAAUCCAUAAAUCAUACACCUCACACCUAUCACUGUGAAACCCAAAACUCAUCCUCCUCAUCGAUCUCCGUGAAUCUUAUAAAUCAUCCCCUCAAUUGAGUCAUUUUAGUAAAUCAUCACUCUCUUGCAGGUACGGUCUUGAAUUGAUCCUGCCCCGAAAAAUCCUAACAAAAAUUCUUUAAGAAAUCUUUCCAUCGUCUUAUCCAUGAAUCCUCCCAUAUUCAUACCAAAUGAUGGAAAAUAAAUAAAUAAAUAAAUAAAACCUCUAUCUGGAUAGGCACCGGAAUUUUCAUACGUGUGUACGCACAUAGACUUGUACUAUAUGCACAGAGACAACAUGUACUUUACGCACAGAGACAUGUAUCGUACACGUCCAAUACUGUACACAGAGAUCAGACGCAUACUGUAACAACGAGAACCGAUGUGAAAUGCACCCACAGAGAAGACGGGUUCCAUGCUCAAAGAGCCAACGUUUAACGUAGACGAUGCGUCGAUGACCAGAGGCUCCAUGCAAGAUUCUCUCCAUUCAAGAAACAUCAUCUGGAGACUAGAAAUCUAAGAAGGAUGUCAAAAAUCCUUAAAGAAAAUAAAUUCGGCUAGAGGCAAAAACCAUUUGAUGCAUAUAUAGAAAUAUCAUUCAAAAAGAACAUGUUUGACUCUAUGAAUCAGGCUCCUGAAAACAAAUUGUCAAGGAAACAAUCAAAAUAAAGAAUUUUGUCCAAAGCCUUUAUCUUCUAUUAUUAUCUAAUAAUUCCCCCACUACAAAGCCCAAACAAUCCUCUUGCACAUGACUUACCCCCUCCUUUUGUUAGCCAAUUUGAAGUUUACAUAAAAGGAAAUCCUAGUGGGAUCAUGGAUAUAUUUUUAAUGGAAAUCCUAUUAUAAUCUGUAUUUUGGCUAUAGUAUAUUUUAUGAUACACAAUAUGACAUGCCACACCACAAUACAACAAACAAAACAUACACACAUACACAUUCAGCAUUGAAAAAAAAUUUUGUUAACAGAAACACAUUGCCCUCACAAGAUAAGAAUGAAUUGAGCAAAUUUAUGUGAAAGUAAGAUAGAAUUAGUUGCGAAAGAGUUAAAAGUAAGACAAACAAGACAGAAUUUCAAAAGGGGAAAACUCUCAAAUCAUUGGAUUAGUUGGGAUUGACGGGGCUCGAACCCGCAACUUCCGCCUUGCAAUAGCAUUGUUGUCACCAAUUGAACUACAAUCCCAAGGACAGGUCACAAUGGUCAAUAUAAAUAAUCAAACAAACUGCACAAAUUAGUACUUACAUACAUUUUGAAAAUCAUACAUCUUUAAAAUAGACCUUGUAAGUAAAAAGAAAAAUCAAUUCAUGUUAUAUGUUGUCAACCCCACACACCACAUCAUAUUAUUUCCUGCAGAAAUAACAAACAAUUAUAAGCCCAAAAGACAAUGAAUUCAAAAUCAUGAAACCUACACACAAAAUAAUGAGAAGUUUAAAGCAAGGGAAAUACAAAAUGGAACGUUUUUCAAAGAUGAGGCCAUGCCCUAUAUAAAGUAUAAGAUAAAAGCCAAUAAUUGCAUAUGAAAAAAGAAAAAAAAGAAAUAUAAGAUAAAAGCCCAAUAAGUGCAAAACACACAUUUUCUUCAUUCAUCUGAAAAUGAAAACAAAAGCAGAAGUGUACCAACCUCUACUUCUCUUGUCCUGAAGAAUAUAUGCAAAUUUGUUUAAUAUAAUUAUCAAAGCAUUCUUAUAAAGAUUUCAAAACUCUCAAAGGCAUAUAAUCAUAAAGCAUUCUUACAACCCCUCGUAUUCAAACUCUGAUUGUUCAAUCAGCUGAUCCUCAUCAAUAAGAUAUUGUUCAAAUCAUCCAACCAUUCUACCUACACAUGGAAAUAAUGAGAAAAUAAAAAAAUGGCAAAAUAGAACUCUCUGGAGUUUGGUGGCAAACAAUUGGCUUGUCAAGUGCUAAACUCAUAAAAGGAAGUAAAAUAAAAAAAAUAUCCACAACAAAUGGUGAUUCUCAUUAGAGGACCCUUAGGUUGCCAUAGAUGAAAAUCUACCUAAAACAAAUAUUUCAUAGAAAGUCUUGGACUAAAGGUGAAAUUAUUAAUGCAAAAGACAAGCACACAAAGCACAUGAAAAUGGGAAAUGAAACCCUUGUUUUCCAAAUAUGAGCGAGAUUGUGAGAUAAACCUACGAUGAAAUGGGAAAUGAAACCCUAGUUUUCCAAAUAUGAGCGAGAUUAUGAGAUAAACCCAUGAUGCCCAUUCCACAGUAUUUUUAUUUAUUGCAUUUUGUAUAUACAACAAAGGAGACCAACCUCUUCCAGUUAACAACAUCACUUACUUCCUCCAGUUGUGGAAAAACAUGCAGAUACUUGGAGAUGAUCAUCAAAGCAUACUUAUAAUACCUAGUUAACCCAACAUUGAUGGAGAUGAGUACAUUGCCAAAAAACAAAUUGGAAGAAAUCCGAAAGAUCAGGUUUCUAAACCCAUACUUAGAAAUAGAAAAUAAAAGAAACCAUAAAUAAUAUAAAAGUUUAAGAAUGAAUGUGAUCUCCCCAUCUGAUGACCCAAGCUUUUAAGUUGGUAAAAUAGCUGCCAUGCAACAUACAUUACUUCAGCAUUAUUGACAUAGCUCCACUCUAUCAACAUCAUAGAUGCUAUGCACAAAAAUUGGGACAUCUCUUAGCUAACCUGCACACACAUAAAUUACCAACCCUGCAUCCCAUGAUUCAUCCUAUUUAAAGAAACUGUUAAAGUAUAUAUGCUUCAAAUAAAAACCAAAUCACAAAUCAAAUAUCUUAAAAGGAUUGAAAGAUGACAUGCUGAUACCAAAAAAAAAAGAGGGAACGGCCAACUUUGAUUAAUGAAAAAUAAUUCAUAUUAAGAGUGAAAAAAAAUAAAUGAAAGAAAUGAACUUAUCUUCAUUGUCAACCUGGAUAACUUAAGCUAACUAUCAUACCUAUUUCCCAUAGAAACCACAAUUAUCAUUAGAAAACAAUUUUCUAGCCGGGUGCCCACCAAGUCAUGCAUACCACAUGCAUUGAAAAGAGCAGAAAAAUGCUGACAUACAACUAAAACCUAAAAAUCACUCAAGAAAAAAACAGCCCCUAAUAUAACUUCAAAAAUCCAUGUCAUGUCAAUAUUGUUUAUCUGAUUGAUAACAGUACAAAUUCCAGAUGAGGAACCUGAACCAUGGAUGACUCGCAUGUUCAAGGAAUAAACUCCAACACAAUCUUGUUGUAGCAAAAUACAAACACAGACAUGGGUUAAAACCCCACAUCCCACCAUGUGUGCAUUUCAAAAAAGCAAAAACAAUGAGCAUCUCUCUUCCCAUUAUUAAGUGUACUUCUACAGUGUAUUGAGUAGCAGGACCUAAAAUCUAGUCAAAUUUGUGUUUCCAUAUUCCUACAACAACACUCCCUAUUCAAAAGCUUAUCAGGGCCAUGGUCUGUUAUAGGUGAGACAAAUCCACUACCAUAGAAAAUAUAUCUCACAUAGAAUUUGAGAAUGUAAAAAAACCAAAUCACCAAAAUUUUACCUCAAAAACUUGCAGAACAAGGAAAAAGCAUCAAAAGGAAACCAAGAGAGGAAACAAAACCCACCUUACACCCCCAAAAUUACCCAACAUUAAUUCAUGAUGCAGUGUCACAGAUUAUUGAAGUAGAUAAAAAAACAUUCAGAUUGAAUUUCAAAGCAUACAAACUUAAAAUCCAUCAGCCUGUAUAUAGGAACAACUGAUAUCCCAGAGCUAUAACUAAAGAGGAACCAAGGAUUUAGGAGAUUCCUCAAAAGAAAUCCAACACCUUCCAUACAGUAGGUCAUACUUUACCGUCCAACAUAGCAGCAUGCCAUCAGUAUGUUGAGUUCCCAAAACGUUUGUUAAAUGUGCAAAGCCUACAAGUAGUAACAAUGUACUCGCACAUUAACCUUUUUAGACAAAACACCAACAGAUUCAGAGGCUAAAAAUAUACAACUAUGUCCCAAAUUUUUUAACAAAUUACUGACAAAACCAGGGACAUUCAUUACUAUCAAUUGAAAUGUAAUCAGAUUGCUGCCAAUCAAGGCAACGCAUUGCUUAUUCAAAGCUAUUAAUCCAAUCCACCCAUAAAAGCUCAUUUCAGUUGCAUCAUAUUCCAACCCACCAAGUGUUAUAAUCUAUCACCAACUUCAAAGCAUGACUUCCUACACGCGUAUGUAUAAUAUAAUAAUAAUAAUAAAGUACAAAUCCCAAGUUAAUGUCAUUAUUACCUCAACAUGCCACGGUAUAGCAAAUAAGAUUAAAUCUUUUGUUCUUCCUUCCUCUCCCCUGGAAUUACAGCCAUUCUCCGUAUACAGUUAAAUUAAAAUUAUUAAGCCAAAUUACUUACCCAAAAGGACUUAUUCCGAUCUAUCAGAAAUUGAGAAUUUCUCAUAUCAACCUGGAAAUCAUAGAUAUUUUAGAAUAAAAGAAGAGGGAUUCGUUCCACGUCUUAAAUUAUAAUACCAAUCUCAAUGAAUCUUUCAAAUCAUCUACCAGAUGGUCACCCUUUCCGUCAAAACUUCGAAAGAUCUACUCCCAAAGAUUGUAUCCCCUUUUAAAGUCUAAUCUGAAAGUAAUCAAUCAAUAAAAAGAAUGGUUCGUGAAGAAGGGGAAAGGAAGUAAACAUCCAUUCUGAUCAGUAAUCAAUAACAAGAACGAUUCGUAAGGGGAAGAAACCUGAACCGAAUUGAUCCUGCCCCGAAAAACCCUGACAAGAAUCCUAUGAGAAAUCAUUCCAUCCUUUUAUAAAACCCUCAUCGAUCAUCUGAUAUCAUAUCCAAUCGUCUUACAAAACCCACGAAACCUCCCAUGUUCAUAUAGAAUGCUGAAAAAAAAACCCUAAAAAUCAUAUCAUCGAUCACCAUAUAAAACUAACCUAAAAACCCACCGCCUUCAUCUUCCAGAUCAAUAUCCUUUGCUUCAAUAUCUCGGCCCCUCUACCAGGAUUUUAUAGGCUCCGGAAUUUUCAUACGCGUACUAAACGCGGAGAGCCGACACGUACUGUACACGGAGAGACGACGCGUACCGUGCGCUGGGAGCCCACACGUACUGUAACGACGAGAACCGACGCGAAAUGCACCAGCAGAUCCAUGCGCACAGAGCUAGCGUAACACGGUACGCGAUGACUAAAGGCUCCAUGAAAGGUACCCUCUUUCUAAACUCCGCCUUGGGCCUGAGAAUUUCAGCAAAAUCUGGGCCCACAUCUCCUAAGCAUCCCAACUCCCAAACGGUGAGCCCGGAUGGUUUCCGAUGGUGUACUUGUCAUUUUGGGAAAGUAUAGCAAUUUUUUUAAAAAUAUUUAUUGAAAUAUGACACAUUUAAAACUUUUGUUAUUCUAAUAAAUAUUUUAAAAUUUUUAUUCAAAUAGACUCAUAUGGGCUCUUAAAUGAUACCUUAUGAUUAAAGUGCUUCAAAAACACAAGUAAUUAUUGUAACAACAUGGAGAUUGUUGUGCUUUUACCAGCUCCAUUGUAUCCUUCGAAAAAACAAUUCAAAAAUAUACGAGAGAAACAAAUCAACCAAUAAGAACAGUUCCCUUAGUAACAUUAUUUACUUCACGAUAUUUGCAUAGCAUAAAUUUAUAUAAAUAUAGUCAAAAUUAUAAACAAAAAGUACUAGUUAAUAAAAUAUAUUGAAAAAUAAAUGCAAACAGAAUUAUCUUGAUAUUUUAAAUUGAUAUAGUUAGAAAACAACCUAAAAAAAUGAAAGAAAGUAAAGAGCAUAGAAGGCAAUUGAACGUGCUGACCUAGAAGAGCAAGAAUUUGAUUUUCAUACAAGAUGAGUCGUAAUGGCUACAUUAUGAAAGUUCCAUGGAGAGCGAACUCCAUUCUCCCAAGGAAUAUAACUUGGUCAAAUGAACAAACUUCUAAAAAUUACAUCACAAACCGAAUAUUGCAUGUAAUGAUAAAAUGUGUAUGAGAAAAACAUUCUUCCAAAGGCAUACCCAUUUCAAGGCAAAUUCUACAUUGAAAAACAAACCAAAAUGAAAUGAAAUGAACAAGUAACUACAUUAGUAUAUUUCAACAACAUCCAAAUACAAGGAAAAUGUUGGAAGACAUGCCUUAUCCAGGGAAAGACAAAUGACACAGUACAACAAUGUGCCGAGAAACAUCAAAUCAAAAAAUUUACCCUAGAUGAAGCCCUAGAGAUAUCAGAGUUGAAAUUUCAAAAAUUAGAUAAAACAAACAAACAACCAAGGCUAAAUACAAAAUAAUACCUGUCAUAUAUUGCUCUAAAUGAGAGUUAUAAGGAAAUGUCAAAGAAAAUAAAUUCGGCUAAUCACGAAUCAGGUUCCUGAAAAUAAAUUGUCAACAAGACCCAACUCCAAAGCCCUAACAAUCUGUUGCACACCACUUACAUAAAUGUAAAUACUUUAUCCCUACCCUCAUGCUUUCAUUUUUUUUUCCCUCUUCUUUUGUUAGCCAAUUUGAAUAUCCAUUGAAGAGUAUGGUUCACAUUAAGGAAGUCCCAACGGGAACCUUGGACGCCUUUUUUACUCCUUAAAGAGUAAGAGACCAAGCUAAAGUUGGAAAUUGACCUAAAACACCAAUAACUAACAUAAGUUUUGUGGUCAAACAAACCAAAGCUCACUCAAACAAACAAAUAUGCAAACUAUGGAUACAUUUUUUUACGGCAAUCCUUUUAUAAUCUGUAUUUUAGCUAUAGUGUAUUUUAUGAUUCCGAGUAUAUAAAUGAUACAAAAUAUAACAUGUGAUACCAUAAUACAACAAACAAUACAUACACAUUCAGCUAAAAAUCAAUUUAAAAAAACUUUUGUUGCAAAUUUAUGUGAAACAGUAAAAGUAAGUAAUGCAUAAGUCAGAAUUUCAAAAGUGGAAAACCCUCAAAUCAUUAAAGUUGGGGUUGACAAAGCUUGAAUCCGCAACUUCUACCUUGCAAUGGCAUUGUUGUGACCGAUUGAACUACAAUCCUAAGAAAUGAUCAUAAUAGUCAAUAUAAAUAAUCAAACAAACUGCACAAAUCAAUACUUGAUAUACAUUUCAAAAAUCAUACAUCUUUCAAAUAUACCUCACACAUAAAAAGAAAAAUCAAUUCAUGUUAUAUGACUUACAAAUCCAAAAUCCACAAUGAAUCCAAAAUCAUGAAACCUAUACACAAACUAAUAAGAAGUAAAGCACGGGAAACAAAAAAUGGAAUGUUUUUCACAAAUAGGGGGUGCGAUAACCAUUUAUUAUACUUUUGUUUGAUGCAUUUUGCAAAAAGCUGUAUUUUUUAUAUGGAAACAACACAUCUUCAUUCAUUUGAAAAUGAAAACAAAAGCAAAAAGCAUACCAACCUCAGCAUCUUUUCUUGUCUUGAAAAUUUGUUUAAUAUAAUUAUCAAAGCAUCCUUAUAAAGAUUUUCAAACUCCCAAAGGCAUAUAAUUAAUUAUUAAAGAAUUCUUACAACCCCUAGUAUUCAAAUUCUGAUUGUUCAUUCAGCCGAUCCUCUUCAAUAAGAUUAUGUUCAAAUCAUCAAAACAUCACAUUCACUCUUAAACUUCUGUUCUUUGUAUUAUUUAUGGUUUCUUUUAGUUUCUGUCUCUAAGUAUGACCAACUCCCCCAUCCUAUGACCCAAGCUUUUUAAGUUGAUAAAAUAGCUGUCAUGCAGCAUAUGUUAUUUCCUUAAACGUUGUCAUAUCUCCACUCUAUCAACAUCAUUGCUGAUAGUCUGCACUUAUCCACAACAAAUGGUAAUUCUCAUUAGAGGACCCUUAGGUUGCCAUAGAUGAAAAUCUACUAAAACAAAUAUUUCAUAGAAAGUCGUCAACUAUAAAGGUGAAAUUAUUAAUGCUUUUGACAAGCACACAAACCACAUAUGAAGAUGGAAAAUGAAACCCUUGUUUUCCAAAUAUGAGCAAGAUUGUGAGAUAAACCCAUGAUACCCAUUCCACAGUAUUUUUAUUUAUUGCAUUUUGUAUAUACAAUAAAGGAAACCUCUUCCAGUUAACAACAUCACUUACUUCCUCCAGUUGUGGAAAAACAAGAUGAUACUUGGAUAUGAUCAUCAAUGUAUACUUAUAACACCUGGUUAACCCAACAUUGAUGGAGAUGAGUACAUUGCCAAAAAACAAAUUGAAAGAAAUCCAAAAGAUCAGGUUUCUAAACCCAUACUUAGAAAUAGAAAAUAAAAGAAACCAUAAAUAAUAUAAAAGUUUAAGAAUGAAUGUGAUCUCCCCCAUCCUAUGACCCAAGCUUUUAAGUUGGUAAAAUAGCUGCCAUGCAACAUACAUUACUUCAUUGUUGACAUAGCUCCACUCUAUCAACAUCAUAGAUGCUAUUUGGCACAAAAAUUGGGACAUCUCUUAGCUAACCUGCACACACAUAAAUUACCAACCAUCCCAUGAUUCAUCUUAUUUAAAGAAACUGUAAAAGUAUAGAUGCUACAAAUAAAAACCAAAUCACAAAUCAAAUAUCUUAAAAGGAUGGAAAGAUGGCAUGCUGCUAAAAAAUAGGCAACCAAAGAAAAAAAAGUGGGAGCAGCCAACUUUGAUUAAUGAAAAAUAAAUGAAAGAAAUGAACUUACCUUCAUUGUCAACCUGGAUAACUCAAGCUAACUAUCAUACCUAUUUCCCAUAGAAACCACAAUUAUCAUUAGAAAACAAUUUUCUUGCCGGGUGCCCACCAAGUCAUGCAUACCACAUGCAUUGAAAAGAGCAGAAAAAUGCUGACAUAUAACUAAAACCUAAAAAUCACUCAAGAAAAAAACAGCCCUUAAUGUAACUUCAAAAAAUCCAUGUCAUGUCAAUAUCAUUCGGUUUAUCUGAUUGAUAACAGUACAAAUUCCAGAUAAGGAACCUGAACCAUGGAUGACUCACAUGUUCAAGGAACAAACUCAAACACAAUCUUGUUGUAGCAAAAUACAAACACAAACAUGGUUAAAACCCCUCAUCCCACCAUCUGUGCAUUUCAAAAAAGCAAAAACAAUGAGCCUCUCUCUUCCCAUUAUUAAGUGUACUUCUACAGUGUAUCGAGUAGCAGGAAUUAAAAUCUAGUCAAAUUUGUGUUUCCAUAUUCCUACAACAACACUCCCUAUUCAAAAUCUUAUCAGGGCCAUGGUCUCUUAAAGGUGAGACAAAUCCACUACCAUAGAAAAUAUAUCUCACAUAGAACUUGAGAAUGUACAAAAACCAAAACACCAAAAUUUUACCUCAAAAACUUGCAGAACAAGGAAGAAGCAUCAAAAGGAAUCCAGGAGAGGAAACAAAACCCACCUUACACCCCCAAACAUACCCAACAUUAAUUCUAUGAUGCAGUGUCACAGAAUAUUGAAGUAGAUAAAAAACAUUCAGAUUGAAUUUCAAAGCAUACGAACUUAAAAUCCAUCAGCCUGUAUAUAGGAAGAACUGAUAUCCCAGAGCUAUAUCUAAAGAGUAACCAAGGAUUUAGGAGAUUCCUCAAAAGAAAUCCAACACCUUCCAUACAGUGGGUCAUACAUGUACUUCGAAAUAGAAAAUAAAGGAAACCAUAAGUAAUAUAAAAGGUUUAAGAAUGAAUGUUACCCAAUGGAAAAAUGACAGGCUGCUAAAAUAAGCAACAAAAAAAAACGAGGGGCCAACUUUGAUGAUAAAAGAAAAAUAAAUCAUAUUGAGGGUAAAAAAAAUACAUGAAAGAAAAGAACUUAUCUUCAUUGUCAAACAAGGUAACUCCAGCAAGCUAUUAUACCUAUUUCCCAUAGAAACCACAAUUAUUAUUACAAAACAAUUUUCUUGUCGGGGUGUACCCACCAAGUCAUGCAUAAAAAAAAGCAUUAAAAAAAGUAGAAAAAUGCUGACAUACAACCAAAACCUCAAAAUCACUCAAGAAAAAGACAGCCCUUAAUAUAACUCCAAAAAUCCAUAUUAUAUCAUUAUCAUUCUGUUCAUCCAAUUCAUAGCAAUACAAAUUUCAGAUAAGGAACCUGGAACCAUGGAUGACUCAAAAAUCCAUAUCAUAUCAACAUCAUUCUUUUUAUGCAAUUGAUAGCAAUACAAAUUUCAGACAAGGAACCUGAACCAUGGAUGACUCACACUGUUCAAGGAACAAGCUCAAAUACAAUCUUAGUGUAACAAAAUACAAACACAGACACCGUUAAAACCAACAACCCCCCCUCAUCCCACCAUGGGCGCCUUUUCAAAAGGCAAAAACAAUGAGCCUCUCUUCUCAUUAUGAAGUGUAUUUCUACUGCAUGUUAACUAGCAUGACCUAAAAUCUAGUCAAAUUUGUGUUCCCAUAUUCCUGAAACAGCAUGCCCUAUUCAAAAGCAUAUCAGGACCAUGGUCUCUUAUGCAUCCAAGGAUCGAGUUAAGGAUAAAGAAGCCUAAAAUCUGAGUGAUGGAUGAUGGAGAACAGCAAGCAUGAGUUGCGUUCCAUCCAAUCCAGAUUUAGUUUAGUGGCUUUUUCUACUGCAUGUUGAGUAGCAUAUCACCAAAAAUCUAGUCAAAUUUGUGUUCCCAUAUUCCUACAACAGCACGCUCUAUUAAAAAGCAUAUCAGGACCAUGGUCUCUUAUGUAUCCAAGCAUCAAGUUAAGGAUAAAGAAGCCUAAAAUCUGAGUGAUGGAUGAUGGAGAAUAGCAAGCAUGAGAGUUGUGUUCCUUCCAAUCCAGAUUUAGUUUAGUGUCUUAUGAUGCUUUUGGAAGGUUCUAGUUCCACAUCUGAUCCUAAUCUGCUUAGUGGUGUCAUUAUUUGUGAUUUAACAUUUCCUAAAGUUGGAUCAUAAAAUCUAAACAAAGAAAAUCUGAGUAAUUAUCACAUAAAUCCUCUUAUUCUUACUACUUCUCACAACUCAUAAAUGUAUUGGGAUCAUGUGUAAAAUCUCUACGCCUUGCUAUGCUAUCCAUUGGGGAUGGAUAGUUCUAAAAAUCAAAUGUUCCUCUAUUUGGCCUUGAGAUAUCCAAGAGAAAGCAUUCCUGCCAACAAGAAAAAUGUCCCAUAUUGAGGCAGAAAAAGAAGAAGAUAAACCAUAAUUCUAUGUAGGACAAUAAAAAAUAUCCCAAAUUGAGGCAGACGAAGAAGAAGAAGAAGAAGAUAAAUCAUAAUUCUAUGUAGUGGUCCCUCUUCAAAUUCCACAACACAUCAUAUUUCUUCCUGCAAAAACAACAACAAUAGUAGCCAAACACGGUAGGCACUCCAAAUAACAACAACAAUCAACAGCCAAACACCUUCUGUUAGCCCUCCAAAUAAUCUUGUUCCAUCAUGCUUAUCUAAACUCAGAGCAUUGAGUAUAUUAGGAGGAUAAGCUACAGAUGUCAAUACCUAAAUCACUGAUGCUGAGUUGGGUUUCAGCCCAACCAAACAGAUAUAGCUGAAAUCUAAAUAAAGAUGCAAUCCCAUUUNNN